rnacentral:tRNA from 1 species
CCCGAGUGGUUAAGGGGGUGGACUUAAGAUCCACUGGACACGGUCCGCGUGGGUUCGAACCCCAC